UCCUGCAGGCGGUUCUGUACGUGGCAGCAGCUGAACCGAAGCCCCUCUCUCUGUCCUGCUCAUAACCCCGGGGGUGCCAAGCGAAACUGGGUCCACGCACCAAAGUGUGACGUUACUAUUUAAAAAAAAAAAAAAAACCCGAUAGAAUAAAGGUUAUUGAAAAAGACAGAAUGAGGAAAUCCGUGUUUUUCAUCUGCUGGACUCUGCUCAGCUGCUGCUGGUCCACACAGGCGGAGAUCUUCACCUCCAUUGGCCAAAUGACAGACCUGAUCUACACAGAAAAGGAGCUGGUGCAAUCUCUGAGGGAGUACAUCAAAGCAGAAGAAUUCAAGCUUGCUGCCGUGAAAAGCUGGGCCAACAAACUGGACGCUCUGACCAGAGUGUCCACCUCUGACCCAGAGGGCUACCUCGCCCACCCAGUCAACGCCUACAAACUGAUGAAGAGGCUCAACACAGAGUGGUCUGAACUGGAGAGCCUGGUGCUGCAGAACCCUGCUGAAGAGUUCAUUUCCAACAUGUCCAUACACAGACAGUUUUUCCCAGAUGAGGAGGAUCAGACGGGUGCAGCCAAGGCGUUGAUGCGUCUUCAGGACACGUACCAACUGGAUUCCGAGGCCUUCUCAAGAGGAAAGCUGCCAGGUAUGCACUCCAAUGCCUUGUUGACGGUGGACGACUGCUUCGACAUGGGGAAGACUGCUUACAACGAUGCAGACUAUUAUCAUGCUGUGCUGUGGAUGCAGCAGUCCUUAAAGCAGCUGGACGCUGGCGAGGAAGCGGAGGUUUCCAAGGCGGACAUUUUGGACUACCUCAGCUACUCCGUCUACCAAAUGGGAGACCUGCCUCGGGCCAUUGAGCUGACACGCCGGCUCGUGGCCAUUGAACCCAGCCACCAGAGGGCAGGAGGAAACCUCCGCUAUUACGAGCGGUUGCUGUUCAAGCAGCUCAAUGAGCAGAACCAGACCUACCAGCCUCCCUCUGAGGAGCCCAUCCAGCUGGGAACCUACAGCAGACCACAAGACCAUCUCCCAGAGAGAGAGGCCUAUGAGGCGCUCUGCAGAGGAGAGGGGCUUCAAAUGACCGAAGCAAGGCGCAGCCGUUUGUCCUGUCGCUACCAGGAUGGUAAAGGUAAUCCUCGUCUCCUGCUGAAACCCAUGAAGGAGGAGGAUGAGUGGGACAGCCCCCACAUCGUGCGCUACCUUGAUGUCCUGUCACACGAGGAGAUUGAGAAGAUCAAGGAGCUGGCUAAACCCAGGCUUGCCAGAGCUACCGUCCGUGAUCCCAAAACAGGCAUCCUGACCACAGCCAACUACAGAGUAUCAAAAAGUGCCUGGUUGGAAGGGGAGGAUGAUCCAGUUGUUGACAGAGUCAAUCUGAGAAUACAAGACAUCACAGGCCUUACAGUCGACACUGCAGAGUUACUUCAGGUUGCUAACUAUGGUGUUGGAGGACAGUACGAACCACAUUAUGACUUCUCCCGGCGUCCUUUUGACACAAACCUCCAGGUCGAUGGAAAUAGACUUGCCACCUUCCUAAACUACAAAGAUGAGCCUGAUGCUUUCAAAAGAUUAGGCACUGGAAAUCGUGUGGCAACUUUUUUGAACUAUAUGAGUGACGUCGAGGCGGGAGGUGCCACGGUCUUCCCUGACUUUGGAGCUGCAAUCAGGCCUAGAAAGGGGACAGCAGUGUUCUGGUAUAAUCUGUUUAAGAGCGGUGAGGGAGACUACAGAACCAGACACGCAGCCUGUCCUGUCUUAGUAGGAAGUAAAUGGGUGUCAAACAAGUGGAUUCACGAGCGAGGACAAGAGUUCAGGAGACGCUGUGGCCUGACAGAAGUGGACUGAAAUCUGAUUCACAUAUAACGUGCACACACCUAACCUAACACACUUCCUCUCCAUUGCUGUAUUUCUAUUUUAUUAUUGUAACGCUCAGACAUAUUCUUGAAAUGUUACAUAAGUGAUCUCCCCUGAACUUGUUGACAUAAUUGACACAUCCUUUAUGACACCGAUAUGUGAGGUCUGGCUAGAUGAUAUUUUUUCUUUUCUUUCUUUUUUUACGAGAGGAUGUGGGGCUCAGAUCUCCUCAGCUUACAUCUUAAACCAAAACACCUACAUCAUAAAGGAUGAAGUGACAGAGCAGGUUUUUCUGAUUUAUUUCAAUUCUACAUGCACCAUCUCAAAGAGAGAACAUUUUGUACUAAAGGCAUUUAGUAUAUUCCAAGUAUCAGUAGCACAUGAGUAGUGAACCAUUUUCCUCUGCAAUUUCCUAUGUAAUUCUGUGGUAUCAACACAUUGCAUGUUGUUCAGCUAGUGUCUUAAGUAGAGCUGAAAACCUGUUCAUAAAUAUUUUUGCAGCCUAUGGAUCCAAACCUGGGUCAAUAUUUUUGUGAAUUGGUGAAAAUAUUUGAAACUGAAAUUUCAAGUUUUGAUCUUGAACUCUGAAAAAUACGACAGUGUUUUCAGAAUAACAACAAGUGUAUGUAAAGUUUUCAAUUUAAAUGUACAACAGUUUCAAAUCACGCUUCACCGUUUUUUCGCUUCAAGUGGCAACCCACCGUGACGUCACCUGUUGGUUUGUGAACUGCGGUUUUGAAGCCUCGCAUUUCGUGUUUUGACCAGCGCCAUCUUGUUUGUUUUUUAAACCGGACGUAGAUCUGGGGGUGGGUCUGACUGAGAGCUCAUCCCCUCUGCGCCCAGCUACACCUGCAACUAUGCACCGACUGGACGGACCAGCAGUCAAUCAAGCCGUAUCCACACUAAGUGAGUCGCCCUGGGAUAGUGAUACACUUCCGCAUUGGCUUCAUUUUCCGGACCCGAUGAAUACGUCCAUUUUAUUUACAGUCUAUGCUUUCAGAACAAUUUGUUGUUUUUUUUUAAAUUUCACCCUGAUCUGGCUUUGGGGGGCGUGGUGUCAACUGGGAGGGACAGCACAAUAAAUAAGGCAGGGCACCUCCCUCAAUCACGUUGCCUUCAGGAAAGGCAUGUUUCCCCACUUCCCCACCCUCUAAUCUCUGUGCUCUGUGCUGGACACUGAGGAGUCAAAUUCGGCAAAUCCCACACCUAAACUAGUCUUUUCCCCUUUAUGCAUGUCCCUGUGUUACAAAAAUUACCCACCAUCGUAACCGUUUUAAUAAUUUCCAAGCGUAUAUUGAAAAUAAUAGCAAAUAUUUCUUACCUGAGUAAGAAAAAUGUGAAAAUAUGAUUUCAAAACUAAAAAAAAUAAGAACCUCAAAUAUCAGAAUAUUCAUGACAGUGCAAAAUUGCAGAAUUUACACUUGUAUUUAAAUUUUUAAAAAAACUUGCUGUCUAUUAUUUUGAAUACACUGUUGUAUUUUUACUUUUAUUUAAGUUCAAGAUCGAAACUUGUACUUUCAGUUUAAAAUAUUUUCUUAAAAAUUAAUAAAACUAUUGACCCUGAUUCGGCUCCAUGGAUGCCAGCUUACCAGAAAUUUCUGUUUACAAAAACACCUUAGAUCCAAAGUAAAUCUGUGGUCUGAUAUUUGCUGAAUUAAUUAUUAAAUGUGGGAACUGAACUCAGAAAAACAUCCUCUCUCUGUUGGUUAUUUCAAACAAAAAUGAAAGACAAAACAUCCAAAGUUACCAUCAGCACCGACGACGCAGUACUAAAGCCUAUUUGUGUCCAAUUGACCAACAGCUGUAUUUUGUCAUUUAAAAUGACACUAAUGUUGGUUUUUUUUGCAUCCAAAGUUGUUCUUCCCUGUCAGACCUGACAAUUAAAUAGAUUUUCUAAGUUA